UACGUAGGGUGCAAGCGUUAAUCGGAAUUACUGGGCGUAAAGCGUGCGCAGGCGGUUGUGCAAGACAGAUGUGAAAUCCCCGGGCUCAACCUGGGAACUGCAUUUGUGACUGCACGGCUGGAGUGCGGCAGAGGGGGGUAGAAUUCCACGUGUAGCAGUGAAAUGCGUAGAGAUGUGGAGGAAUACCGAUGGCGAAGGCAGCCCCCUGGGCCAAUACUGACGCUCAUGCACGAAAGCGUGGGGAGCAAACAGG
rnacentral:rRNA from 1 species